CAAUAGCGUAUAUUAAAGUUGUUGCAGUUAAAAAGCUCGUAGUUGAAAUUCUGUGCAUUAUUCGGACCGAACUUCGGGACGAAAGUGUUCAUCCGCCUGAAUAACUUAUUAGGUUAUUAAGUUAAUCUAGUGAGGGAUCUGGCAUUUUACCUUGAGGAAAUCAGAGUGUUCCAGGCAGGCUAACGCCUAAAUAUAUCAGCAUGGAAUAAUGGAAUUGGCUUCAUCCAUUGGUUUAGUGGAAGAAGUAAUGAUUAAAAGGGACAGUUGGGGGCAUUAGUAUUUAAUUGUCAGAGGUGAAAUUCAUGGAUUAAUUAAAGACUAACUACUGCGAAAGCAUUUGCCAAGGAUGUUUUCAUUAA
rnacentral:rRNA from 1 species